rnacentral:rRNA from 1 species
AGUAGCUCGUGGGAUCGGUCGGCGGAAUGACGGGAGGUGCGAGGAUGAAUCGGAAUUGCAGGGCGUAAAGCUAACGCAGGCGGGGUGGUAAGUAGUAGGUGAAAUCCCCGGGCGCGACCUGGGAACGUGAUUCGAAGCUGGCAGGCUAGAGUGUUGGAGAGGGGGGUAGAAUUCCAGGUGUAGCGGUGAAAUGCGUAGAGAUCUGGAGGAAUACCGGUGGCGAAGGCGGCCCCCUGGACAAAGACUGACGCUCAGGUGCGAAAGCGUGGGGAGCAAACAGGAUUAGAUACCCCAGUCGUU